AAUGAACGUUGGCGGCGUGGAUUAGGCAUGCAAGUCGAACGUGAAAGUUCCCUUCGGGGGGCGAGUAAAGUGGCGCACGGGUGAGUAACGCGUGGAUAAUCUACCCAAUGAUCUGGGAUAACAUCUCGAAAGGGGUGCUAAUACCGGAUAAGACCACGGGAUCUCCGGAUUCUGCGGUAAAAGGUGGGGACCUUCGGGCCUACCGUCAUCGGAUGAGUCCGCGUACCAUUAGCUAGUUGGCAGGGUAAUGGCCUACCAAGGCAACGAUGGUUAGCUGGUCUGAGAGGAUGAUCAGCCACACUGGAACUGAGACACGGUCCAGACUCCUACGGGUGGCUG
rnacentral:rRNA from 1 species